GAUGAACGCUGGCGGCGUGCCUAAUACAUGCAAGUCGAGCGAACAGACGAGGAGCUUGCUCCUCUGACGUUAGCGGCGGACGGGUGAGUAACACGUGGAUAACCUACCUAUAAGACUGGGAUAACUUCGGGAAACCGGAGCUAAUACCGGAUAAUAUAUUGAACCGCAUGGUUCAAUAGUGAAAGACGGUUUUGCUGUCACUUAUAGAUGGAUCCGCGCCGCAUUAGCUAGUUGGUAAGGUAACGGCUUACCAAGGCAACGAUGCGUAGCCGACCUGAGAGGGUGAUCGGCCACACGGAAACUGGGACACGGCCCAACUCCCUAGGGAGGCAGCAGUAGGGAAUCUUCCGCAAUGGGCGAAAGCCUGACGGAGCAACGCCGCGUGAGUGAUGAAGGUCUUCGGAUCGUAAAACUCUGUUAUUAGGGAAGAACAAAUGUGUAAGUAACUAUGCACGUCUUGACGGUACCUAAUCAGAAAGCCACGGCUAACUACGUG
rnacentral:rRNA from 1 species